AUACGGAGGAUGCGAGCGUUAUCCGGAUUUAUUGGGUUUAAAGGGAGCGUAGGCGGGAGCUUAAGUCAGCGGUUAAAUGGUGCGGCUCAACCGUGCCCUGCCGUUGAAACUGGGUUUCUUGAGAGUGCAAGAGGCGGAUGGAAUUCAUGGGGUAGCGGGUCAAUGCUUAGAUAUCAUGAAGAACUCCGAUUGCGAAGGCAGUCCGCUGGGGCACGUCUGACGCUGAUGCUCGAAGGUGCGGGAAUCAAACAGGAUUAGAUACCCUGGUAGUCCGCACGGUAAACGAUGAUUACCCGCUGUCGGCGGUAGACAGUCGGCGGCCAAGCGAAAGCGAUAAGUAAUCCACCUGGUGAGUACGCCGGCAACGGUGAAACUUAAAUGAAUUGGCGGGG
rnacentral:rRNA from 1 species